rnacentral:rRNA from 1 species
AAGAUUUCGGUUUUUAUCUUAGUGGCGCACGGGUGAGUAACACGUGAAUAACCUGACCCAAAGAGGGGGAUAACACCUGGAAACAGGUGCUAAUACCGCAUAAGACCACAAUGUCGCAUGACGAAGGGGUCAAAGAAAAUCGCUUUGGGAGGGGUUCGCGUCCCAUUAGGUAGUAGGCGGGGUAAUAGCCCACCUAGCCGACGAUGGGUAGCCGAGCUGAGAGGCUGAUCGGCCACACUGGAACUGAGACACGGUCCAGACUCCUACGGGAGGCAGCAGUGGGGAAUAUUGGGCAAUGGGCGCAAGCCUGACCCAGCAACGCCGCGUGAGGGAAGAAGGUUUUCGGAUUGUAAACCUCUGUCGCAGAAGACGAAGGAAGUGACGGUAUUCUGUGAGGAAGCCCCGGCUAACUACGUGCCAGCAGCCGCGGUAAUACGUA